rnacentral:lncRNA from 1 species
AUAUGUCACCUACUAGGUGCAAUGUAAGGGUUUGUUAAAUAAAACAAUAAAAACCUUCUUAUUACUUAACAAGUGGGAAUAAAAAAGCGAUUCCAGUGGGAUAUUGGGAAAGGUACUUCAGGUAGCUGGUGUCACUUAGUAAGGGUCCUUAGAAAUGAAUCACAUCUUCCAAAAAGCACAAGAAGGAAGAAAGCAUAAAUAAAGGCCCCUUGGUGUGCCAAAUCCUUAGAAUAGUCAGUAAAGAAUUAGUUUGCUACUGCAGAUAGAAGAAAGAUUUCAUGAAAUAGGGUCUGGAGCUGGUCUCAGCAGCACAUGCUGUAAUCCCAGCACUUUGGGAGGCCGAGGCGGCUAGAUCGCUUGAGUCCAGGAGUUCAAGACCAUCCUGGCCAACACGGUGAAACCCAUCUCUACUAAAAAUACAAAACAUUAGCUGGGUGUGGUGAUACAGGCCUGUAAUCCAAGCUACUCAGGAGGCUGAGAUAGGAAACUCACUUGAACAGGGUAAGUGGAGGCUGCAGUGAGCUGAAAUUGCCCUGCCACACUCCAGCCUGGGCUACAGAGCGAGACUCCAUCUCAAAAAAAUUAAAAAAAAAAAAAAAAAAGAGUCUGGGCAGGAGGAUGGGAACAAGUUGUGAAGAAACAUGUUUAAGGAUUUUAGAUUUAAAAAACGGUUUGUGGGUACAUAGUAGGUGUAUAUAUUUAUGGGGUGCAUUAGAUGUUUUGAUACAAGCACGCAAUGUGUAUAAUCACAUCAAUGUCUAAGCAAUGGAGAGCUUUCUAAUGUAGUGAGUGGUGUGAUGAGAUCUGGAUUUUAGAAAGAUAAUUUUGGUUAUCAUAUAGAAGGAGAAUUGGAACAACAGGUUCUGAUGAUAUUAGUUAUUAGACCACUGUAAUAGUACAGAACAAGAUAUACUGGGAUAGGAAAGCCAGAUGCUAUUAAUGGAGAAGGAAAUGAAGACUCAUGGCCCCAUCCUGGUAGAAGAUGGGAACUUUCUCAUAAUGGAAUGUCCAAUCUCCUCCUAGGGAGAAAUUAACAUACCUGGAAAAAUGCUUAACCAAUUUGCUGAUAGAUGCUAAUGGAUUAAGAUCCCUUCUGGGAAACUUGUUACCUACGUAUAUAGCUAAUUGUCAGUCAAGAGUAAUGGCAUUUAAACAGUAAUUCUCUCUUUUGUGUGUGUGUUGUGUAUCCAGUUAUCAGGGUUAUCUGAUCUUCUUUCUAAAAACAAAUAAAAUGCCUCAAGCAAGAGAGGAUUUUUAAAUUAAUCUUCUUAGGUUUCCUUCCUUAGUGAAAUUUGAAAUAAAAUUUGACACAUCUGUCACCAAACUGUCAGAAAAAAAUCUUGACAAAGAAAGCAGCAAUUGGCCAGGUAUGGUGGCUCAUGCCUGUAAGCCAAGCACGUUUGGAGGCUGAGGUGGGCAGAUCACCUGAAAUCAGGAGUUCGAGACCAGCCUGGGCAACAUGGUGAAGCCUCGUCUCUAUUAAAAAUAUAAAAAUUAGCCAGGCAUGGUGGCACACACCUAUAAUCCCAGCUACUCAGGAGGCUGAGGCAGGAGAAUCGCUUGAUAGUGGGAGGUGGAGGUUGCAGGGAGCUGAGAUCACGCCACUGCACUCUAGCCUGGGCAACACAGCAAGACUCCAUCUCAAAAAAAAAAAAAAAAA